rnacentral:rRNA from 1 species
ACGCUGGCGGCGUGCCUAAUACAUGCAAGUCGAACGGCUUUUCUAUGGAAGCUUGCUUCCACUGAAAAGAUAGUGGCGAACGGGUGAGUAACACGUGGGUAAACCUGCCCCAUAAGAGGGGGGAGUAACAUCCGGAAAACGGGUGCUAAUACCGCAUAGUUUUCUUGAUCGCAUGAUCGGGAAAGGAAAGACGGCCUUUGUGCUGUCGCUUAUGGAUGGACCCGCGGCGUAUUAGUUAGUUGGUGAGGUAACGGCUCACCAAGACGAUGAUACGUAGCCGACCUGAGAGGGUGAUCGGCCACAUUGGGACUGAGACACGGCCCAAACUCCUACGGGAGGCAGCAGUAGGGAAUCUUCCGCAAUGGACGAAAGUCUGACGGAGCAACGCCGCGUGAGUGAAGAAAAGGUUUUUCGGAUCGUAAAACUCUGUUGUCAGAGAAGAACAAGUUGGAGAGUAACUGCUCCAGCCUUGACGGUAUCUGACCAGAAAGCCACGGCUAACUACGUGCCAGCAGCCGC